ACGAGAGUUCCAGACCCCAGUUAUGAACUCAUUUGCAUACAGCCAAUCAGAGCUCAGCUAUCAAACUAAUGUCCACCUAGUCACGAAAAUACUCUAGUUGAGUUUAGUGGAAAAUGUGCAUUAUAGCAAAAUCUAACUGUUCUAAACAGGUUAAUAGGGGUGACAAAUGUGAAAUUUAGUGAAUAGAGUGAAUGGAGAGCUGCUCACUGCUGGUGUCGUCAUAGGGAAUUUGUUGAGGAAAAUUUUUCACAGCUAGAUGCCUUUCCUGUUGCCAUUCCUGACCUCUUUUCAAAGAAGAAACAAGAACCAGAUCUACUGAAGAAAUGCUUUUCUACAUCAAAAACUAGUGGUUACUAGUAGUGUAGAACUUCGGUGAAAGCAAUGUUGUUGCACUUCAUACCAGUAAAACCUUUUGCUUGAGAACCUCUGAAUUAAGUUGACCAGGCACAGGUAUGGCUGUGUGGUUAAGAAGUUUGCACAAGGUUUAUGGCUCAUUCUCAGUGCAUGGCA